UGGGGAAUAUUGCACAAUGGGCGAAAGCCUGAUGCAGCGACGCCGCGUGAGGGAUGACUGCCUUCGGGUUGUAAACCUCUUUCAGCUCCGACGAAGCGAAAGUGACGGUAGGAGCAGAAGAAGCACCGGCCAACUACGUGCCAGCAGCCGCGGUAAUACGUAGGGUGCAAGCGUUGUCCGGAAUUAUUGGGCGUAAAGAGCUCGUAGGCGGUCUGUCACGUCGGCUGUGAAAACCUGGGGCUCAACUCCGGGCCUGCAGCCGAUACGGGCAGACUAGAGUUCGGCAGGGGAGACUGGAAUUCCUGGUGUAGCGGUGAAAUGCGCAGAUAUCAGGAGGAACACCGGUGGCGAAGGCGGGUCUCUGGGCCGAAACUGACGCUGAGGAGCGAAAGCGUGGGGAGCAAACA
rnacentral:rRNA from 1 species